AUUUUUUUUAGGAGAAUCAUAUUUUACUCUUUAUUUGGGCUACACUAGCGAAAGCCGCUGUGUUACGUUUCCUUUCCAGUUUGCAUUAUGUCACAGAGUCAGGUGCUAGGUGUUUUCAUCAUCACCAGCCAUAGGACUGCUUAAAGAACACUGAUUGUACUGCGAUUGUAUAUCUCUCUCACAUACAUACAUAAUAUAUAUGAAAACAUUUCAGGAUAACAACACCAACAAAGUGCUAUUACCACGGGCCAUUGGGCAGAGCAUAGAGAUAUUUUCAUUGGACUAAAUUUUGGGUUUCAGUGGCAUUCGUAAUAAUAGUAUUUGUCUUGUAAUAAUAAUGUACAACCCCCCAUGGCGUAACAGAAAGUCACAUUUCCCUUUGUAGGAACUGAAUUGAAAAGACAAAUGUGAGGCUCCGGAACUUCCAGAAAACCAAACGCUGCCUGUGUGCAUGUCAGUCACCCAAGAAAGUCAGUUCUUGAUGAGAAAUCAGACCAGUACGGCUGGAGCAGAUGACCAAAAAAGAGUCGUAGAAGGGAAGUGAGAGAGGUGACGGGAGCCAGAUCACGUGGGGCACUGUAGGUCAUCGCUGGAGCUGAGAAGUCUCUGAAGGGCUUUGAGCAAAAGGAGCAUGAGGAGCCGUAGUCAUUUCCAGCAGUUCUCCAGUUCUCAGACCCUAACCAUCCGGAGUUACUGCAGACUCCACAGUUAAGGGCUCAGUCUCACCAGCCGACCCCAACUUCAGAUGCCAGCAGCAAGUCCGCAUCACCCAUACUUCUGACUCGCCAGCUCUCAAUCAGUUGGAUCAUUCUUCAAAAUGACUUAUAGUACUCAGGAAAACACUUUACUUCCUAUUACCAAUUUAUGGUAAAGGGUACAACACGGAAAUAGCUACGUGGAAGAGAUACACAGGAUGAGUUAUUAGGGGUCGGGGCACAGAGUUUCCCCAGGCUCUCUGGAUGUACCACCCUCCCAGCACUUUCAUGUGCUCACCCACUCAGGAGCUCUCCGAACCCUAUGGUUUAGGCUUUUUAUGGAGAUUUCAUUACACAGGCAUGACUGAUUAAAUCACUGGCUAUUGUUGAUUGAACUCAAUCUCUAGCCCUCUCCAUUCCCCAGAGGCCAGAGGGCGGGGCUGAAAGUCCCAAUCCUGUAAUCAUGGCUUGUCUCUCUGGUGAUGGGUCCCUAUUCUGGAGCUCUCAAGGAGGCCACAGGCAAGAGUCAUCUCAUUAGCCAUCUCACUCUUACCGCUCAC
rnacentral:lncRNA from 1 species